rnacentral:rRNA from 1 species
CUAAAAGCUAAGAGCGGAUAAUCAAAUAGACACAUAGAUAUUCUAUUGGACGCAGGAGAAUUAGUUAAAAGAUAGCGGUUGGGUUUCUACCGGAUGGACCUGCGUUGUAUUAGCUAGUUGGUGAGGUAACGGCUCACCAAGGCGACGAUACAUAGCCGACCUGAGAGGGUGAUCGGCCACACUGGGACUGAGACACGGCCCAGACUCCUACGGGAGGCAGCAGUAGGGAAUCUUCGGCAAUGGGGGGAACCCUGACCGAGCAACGCCGCGUGAGUGAAGAAGGUUUUCGGAUCGUAAAGCUCUGUUGUAAGAGAAGAACGGGUGUGAGAGUGGAAAGUUCACACUGUGACGGUAUCUUACCAGAAAGGGACGGCUAACUACGUGCCAGCAGCCGCGGUAAUACGUAGGUCCCGAGCGUUGUCCGGAUUUAUUGGGCGUAAAGCGAGCGCAGGCGGUUAGAUAAGUCUGAAGUUAAAGGCUGUGGCUUAACCAUAGUAUGCUUUGGAAACUGUUUAACUUGAGUGCAGAAGGGGAGAGUGGAAUUCCAUGUGUAGCGGUGAAAUGCGUAGAUAUAUGGAGGAACACCGGUGGCGAAAGCGGCUCUCUGGUCUGUAACUGACGCUGAGGCUCGAAAGCGUGGGGAGCAAACAGGAUUAGAUACCCUGGUAGUCCACGCCGUAAACGAUGAGUGCUAGGUGUUAGGCCCUUUCCGGGGCUUAGUGCCGCAGCUAACGCAUUAAGCACUCCGCCUGGGGAGUACGACCGCAAGGUUGAAACUCAAAGGAAUUGACGGGGGCCCGCACAAGCGGUGGAGCAUGUGGAUUUAAUUCGAAGCAACGCGAAGAAUCCUUACGCAGUCUUGACGAUCCCUCUGACCGCUCUAGAGAUAAGAGUUUUCCUUCGGGACAGAAGUGAACAUGUGUGCAUGAUUGUCGUCAGCUCGUGUCAGGAGAUGUGGUUAAGUCCCGCUACGAGCGCAACCCUAUUGUAGUUGCAAUCA